AGGGAAACCCGUAAGAUUCAAUGAGACGUAAGCUGAUUGGAUAAAAAGGUUAUGUUUACAAUUAUAAAAUUUGUGUCAAAAUCAAGCAAUAUAAUGUUUUCUGAGAAAUUUGGAAUAUUUUACUAGUGUCUGGCUGAAUGGUAGACUUUACAAUUCAGUAUUUAGAAAAGUAGGUGACAGUGGGCAUUUUGCCUGUAAAUGCCAUUCAAGAAAGGGGGUAGGUUUGUCUGAAGAAAAAUUGUAAGAAAUUGGAUCGGAUAAGCCUAUAUAAAAUUGCUAUUUUUAUGUGUCUGAAAUGCUGUCUUACUGAAAGAAUCACAUUUUAAUGGUCAUUUCUCAAUUUUGGGACAUGUGACAGGGUAAUAUCUUAUAAUGGGAGUCUAUGGGAAAAGUAAUAGGAGUGUCUGACCUAAAGUGAAUUUUCUACACUAGUGAAUUAACUGAAAAAACUGAUUCUGAGGGAAGGUUUUGUGAUUGUACAUUCUUCUGUUGGAUUGUUUUAGGAUAAUCAAAGCCUCUUAGGUUGUUCAGCAAUAAAAUUACAGGAAUUUAGUCCAUUAGGUAGAUAUUUUCAGUCAUUAUCAGCACCAGGGGUCCUCAGUUUUGGCAUUGGUAUUAUUUCAAACAGGUGAUUGCAUGUGACUAAGGUGAUACUUGCAGUAUUUGAUGUCUGAGAAUUUUCUUUGUGUGCACAACAUAAGGAGGGGUGGAGUGUAAGAUGAAUGUAUAGUUUUCUUUUCAUAAAUCUUUCAUUUAGGUCUCCAUACAGACUUUACCGGUUAUGAUUCCAUGAAAAUUUUAUGACAAGACUGCAGGAAACCUGUUUACUGACAGUGCCAGAGUGGUUAUUGUUGAAGAAUAGUAAAGUACAGAUGACAUAAGACACUGUGACAUACUAUACAGAAAGUGGUACUGGUGGCUAGAAUUUUGGAUGAGAGUGAAAACAACACAUUUGUUACUUUGGUAAGUGUUUACUUUAAAAGUAUAAUAACUGAAGGGCAUGUACAUUGAAAUUUUAUAUUCUCUUUAGGUCAGAGAUUGUUAUUACAAGCCAGCUUUGGAUUGGUUGAAAAAAGUGUAGGGAAACCCGUAAGAUUCAAUGAGACGUAAGCUGAUUGGAUAAAAAGGUUAUGUUUACAAUUAUAAAAUUUGUGUCAAAAUCAAGCAAUAUAAUGUUUUCUGAGAAAUUUGGAAUAUUUUACUAGUGUCUGGCUGAAUGGUAGACUUUACAAUUCAGUAUUUAGAAAAGUAGGUGACAGUGGGCAUUUUGCCUGUAAAUGCCAUUCAAGAAAGGGGGUAGGUUUGUCUGAAGAAAAAUUGUAAGAAAUUGGAUCGGAUAAGCCUAUAUAAAAUUGCUAUUUUUAUGUGUCUGAAAUGCUGUCUUACUGAAAGAAGCACAUUUUAAGGGUCAUUUCUCAAUUUUGGGACAUGUGACAGGGUAAUAUCUUAUAAUGGGAGUCUAUGGGAAAAGUAAUAGGAGUGUCUGACCAGCAGAAAAAGAUCGUGGAAACCGGUUACCGAAAACAAUGCAUGGUGGGAUUGAUUAAAUUCACGCUUGUGAUGACAGAGAACAUGUUCUGAAUUUUAAUCAAGUAUUUGCCCUUGGGUCAAAAUUAGCAAACACUCGAUUAAAAUUCGGAACAUAUUUUCUAUAAUCGGCGAAUUUCACGAUGUCGGGACAGCAGCCGUUUCAUAAAUGUUUGUAGGUCAUUUUUGGGAAUAAUUUGGUCUGAAAUUGGGAAAAAUGGUCAUUAUUUUCAAUUGGGAAAGGGUCCGUUUUACGGACCCUAUUAAAGAAG
rnacentral:lncRNA from 1 species